AACGUUAGCUUUCCGAUAGCUCUGUGGACAAGCCCGUGGCAGCUUCCUCCCUGCCCAAACACAGCCAGAUUUCGGAAGUUUUCCCGGAGCACAGUCCUUGGAGUACAGAAGCGGUCGUAGCCAGGUCAGCUUGCUCGUGGAAAGCAGGAGCGACGGGGCACUGAGGAAGAGUUUGGCCGGGAUUGACAUGGCAACGCGUCGCGGUGCAGAGAACAACCAUGCAGCUGAGGUCGCCCAGAAGCGACCGCGGGAUGCUUUCCAGCAGGAGGAAAGGGAGACGCUCAGGAAAUAUGAGAAGAUGGAGGAGAGGGUCAGAAAAAUCCUGACCGCCUCGUGUGACAAGAUAUCCCAACUCUUUCUUCUGAAGGACAUGCCCGAGCA
rnacentral:lncRNA from 1 species